UUUAACAGCUGGCUAAUACUUUAUCACUGAUUACGAAGGAUGAAACCUCAACUCACCUCUCUCAUCACUCACAGAAAACAGGUGUUUGACACUGGUAAAUCCUCAGAGGAUGAAGAUGUUCCUAAGUAGGUUUGCUGCUCAUGGGACCUUCCAGCCUGUAGAAAAAUGUUGUCGUUGUUAUGAACAUUUUUCAAAACCUAAAAAGUGAGAAAGAAAAACAGGUUUUUCCUCUGAUUUAAGCACAGGGAGCUCUGCAGCAAAGGGCAAGCUUUGCUGGGCUGUUUCCUAUGGAUUUGUGAUGAGAUUGCCAUUGAAGGAAGUACAUGCUUUGAAAGCACAAACAACUCAGCAUCCAAGCAGUAAUUCAGGUCUAAUACAGUGCCACUUUUUUCAUUUAAAAAUGAGAAAUAACAUAAAAUGUGAAAGCAAUAUGCUGC
ensembl:lncRNA